AGAAAGAAAAUCACACAAAAUUCUCUGUAGUGUGUCAAUACCUGCCAAGAGUCUGGAGCUCUCUGGGUGUAGGAAGAGCAACUGGGAAUCCAAGAGGGAAUACCUGGCUGUGGCUGUGGCUGGGAGUACCUGCACUGUCUCCAGCUGUUACUGUUUCGUGAUAAAAUAAUUCUCAAAAUGGACUUGGAUUUAAUCCUCUGUAUCUGCCUCUUGCCUUCUGCAUUUUGGCAGGUUUGAAAACCACAGCCCGAUGCAUGUAUACUGGGAGUAGAAGAAAGAAGAUAGAGGAAGAACAGGGGGAGAAAGCCCUAAAUGAGAGACUGACUAGCAAAAUGGAAUCUGAGCUUGAACUGCAUACCUAGUAGUGAAAACUGUGAAGACUGAUUCAUCUGCCAGGCCUUCCUUCACAGAGCUCCUGAAUGAUCCCUCCAUCUUCAUUGGUGCCUCUGGGUGUACACUGAACAUAAUGCAAGAAGUCUAUCAAUAUGGGUAAG